rnacentral:rRNA from 1 species
UACAGAGGCCUCAAGCGUUGUUCGGAAUCACUGGGCGUAAAGGGUGCGUAGGCGGGUCUUUUAAGUCAGGGGGUGAAAGACGGUGGCUCAACCAUCGCAGUGCCCUUGAUACUGAUGGGCUUGAAUGUAGUUGAGGUGGGCGGAAUGUGACAAGUAGCGGUGAAAUGCAUAGAUAUGUCACAGAACACCGAUUGCGAAGGCAGCUCACUAAGCUAUGAUUUGACGCUGAGGCUCGAAAGCGUGGGGAUCAAACAGG